UACGUAGGGUGCGAGCGUUGUCCGGAAUUAUUGGGCGUAAAGGGCUCGUAGGCGGUUUGUCGCGUCGGGAGUGAAAACACCGGGCUUAACCCAAAGCGUGCAUCCGAUACUGCUGUGACUUGAGUACGGUAGGGGAGCGGGGAAUUCCUAAGUGUAGCGGUGAAAUGCGCAGAUAUUAGGAGGAACACCGGUGGCGAAGGCGCCGCUCUGGGCCGAAACUGACGCUGAGGAGCGAAAGCAUGGGUAGCAAACAGG
rnacentral:rRNA from 1 species